CCAACAUUGCUCUGCCAGGACACAGAUCCGUAGGGUCAGCCCUGCAUCCUGAGCAGCUUAGAGGGAGAAGCCAGACCAGCAGUGCCUCACACCUUGUCCUCUUCUGCUCUGGACAGAUGGCUCCAUAACGACAGCUUCAUAAUGGCAGUGGAUGGGACCCUAGUGUACAUCAGGGUCACUCUUCUGCUGCUCUGGCUUGGGGUAUUUUUGUCUAUUUCUGGCUACUGUCAGGCUGGGCCCUCCCAGCAUUUCACUUCCCUGGAAGUGGUGAUCCCCUUGAAGGUGAUCAGCAGGGGCAGAAGUGCAAAGGCUCCUGGAUGGCUCUCCUAUAGUCUGCGGUUUGGGGACCAGAAACAUGUUGUUCAUAUGAGGGUUAAGAAGCUCUUGGUUUCUAGACACCUCCCAGUGUUCACCUACACAGAUGAGCGUGCACUCCUGGAGGAUCAGCUCUUCAUCCCAGAUGACUGUUACUAUCAUGGUUACGUGGAGGGUGCCCCUGAGUCUCUGGUUGUGUUCAGUGCUUGUUGUGGGGGCUUUUGAGGAGUAUUAAAAAUAAACGGCCUCACUCAUGAAAUUGAACCCAUCAGGCACUCUGCCACAUUUGAACACCUGGUUUACAAAGUAAACAGUAAUGAGACACAAUUCCCAGCUAUGAGAUGUAGCUUAACAGAGAAGGAAGUAGCACGCCAACAGUUGGAAUUUGAAGAGGCUGAGAACUCAGCUCUGGAACCAAAAUUUGCUGGUGACUGGUGGACUCAUGCAUGGUUUCUGGAGCUCGUUGUUGUGGUGAACCAUGAUUUCUUCAUUUACUCUCAAAGCAACAUCUCAAAGGUGCAAGAGGAUGUAUUUCUUGUUGUCAACAUAGUGGAUUCCAUGUAUCAGCAGUUAGGUACUUACAUAAUUUUGAUUGGAAUUGAAAUUUGGAAUCAAGGAAAUGUUUUCCCAAUGACAAGCAUAGAACAGAUCCUAAAUGAUUUCUCUCAACGGAAACAAAUCAGUCGUUCCCAGCUACAACAUGGUGCUGCACAUACGUUCAUAAAAAAUUCACUUAUAAGUAUACUUGGCCUAGCCUACAUUGCAGGAAUAUGUCGUCCACCUAUUGAUUGUGGAGUUGAUAAUUUUCAAGGAGAUACCUGGUCUCUUUUUGCCAACACUGUGGCCCAUGAGUUAGGUCAUACGUUGGGUAUGCAGCAUGAUGAAGAAUUCUGUUUUUGUGGGGAAAGAGGUUGCAUCAUGAAUACUUUUAGAGUGCCAGCAGAGAAAUUCACCAAUUGCAGUUACGCUGAUUUUAUGAAGACCACCUUAAACCAGGGAUCAUGUCUGCAAAAUCCUCCAAGAUUGGGGGAAAUCUUUAUGCUAAAGCGCUGUGGGAAUGGUGUGGUUGAAAGAGAAGAGCAGUGUGACUGUGGAUCCGUACAGCAGUGUGAACAAGAUGCCUGUUGUCCAUUGAACUGCACUCUAAGGCCUGGGGCUCCCUGUGCUUUUGGGCUUUGUUGCAAAGACUGCAAAUUCAUGCCAUCAGGGGAACUCUGUAGACAAGAGGUCAAUGAAUGUGACCUUCCAGAAUGGUGCAAUGGAACAUCCCUUCAGUGUCCAGAAGAUAGAUAUGUGCAGGACGGGAUCCCCUGUAGUGACAGUUCCUACUGCUAUCAAAAGAGGUGUAAUAACCAUGACCAGCAUUGCAGGGAGAUUUUUGGUAAAGAUGCAAAAAGUGCAUCUCAGAAUUGCUAUAAAGAAAUCAACUCUCAGGGAAACCGUUUUGGUCACUGUGGUAUAAAUGGCACAACAUACCUAAAAUGUCAUAUCUCUGAUGUCUUUUGUGGGAGAGUUCAAUGUGAGAAUGUGAGAGACAUUCCUCUUCUCCAAGAUCAUUUUACUUUGCAGCACACUCAUAUCAAUGGUGUCACCUGCUGGGGUAUUGACUAUCAUUUAAGGAUGCACAUAUCUGACAUUGGUGCAGUGAAAGAUGGUACUGUGUGUGGCCCAGGAAAGAUCUGCAUCCACAAGAAGUGUCAGUCUGUCUGUCUUGUCACACAUCUGCCUUCCUGA
ensembl:lncRNA ADAM21P1 ADAM metallopeptidase domain 21 pseudogene 1